rnacentral:rRNA from 1 species
ACGCACGCUGGCGGCGUGCUUCACCCCUGCAAGUCGCACGGAAAGGCCCUGCUUGCAGGGUACUCGAGUGGCAAACGGGUGAGUAACACGUGGGUGAUCUGCCCUGCACUUCGGGAUAAGCCUGGGAAACUGGGUCUAAUACCGGAUAGGAGCCAUUUUUAGUGUGAUGGUUGGAAAGUUUUUUCGGUGUAGGAUGAGCUCGCGGCCUAUCAGCUUGUUGGUGGGGUAAUGGCCUACCAAGGCGGCGACGGGUAGCCGGCCUGAGAGGGUGGACGGCCACAUUGGGACUGAGAUACGGCCCAGACUCCUACGGGAGGCAGCAGUGGGGAAUAUUGCACAAUGGGCGCAAGCCUGAUGCAGCGACGCCGCGUGGGGGAUGACGGCCUUCGGGUUGUAAACUCCUUUCGCUAGGGACGAAGCUUUUUGUGACGGUACCUAGAUAAGAAGCACCGGCUAACUACGUG